UGGGGUAUGGCUCAGUUGGUAGAGUUUUAGCCUAGCAAGCACAAGGACCUGGGUUCAAUCCCCAGCGCCGCAA